GGCCUAUCUUUCCGCAUCCGUUGCGCGUACGGUCGCUCUGUCGCAAGACGAUGGCGCUGAAACUUAGAGCGGACUGCGGGCAGACCCGGGGGCAGUACCCGGCGCCUCCACCCUAGCAGCUUGAGCUUAAAGGUCUCAUUUUCGAUGAGAUCGAUUUUGUCGGAAGGCAAAAUCCCUGGGCUGCUACGGCGGGGGCGAAACAGGAUCGAUGGUCGCGAAGAAGCUCUGAAUUGUGCCCGGCAUGAUACCGCCGUUAUCGGGUCAAAAACCUAAAUGCAAACGAUAACGUUGCAUUGAACGAAGUGCGCCUCGC
rnacentral:tmRNA from 1 species